rnacentral:misc_RNA from 1 species
GAAUGGGGCUGGCUGAGCACCGUGGGUCGGCGAGGGCCCGCCAAGGAAGGAGCGACCGACCGAGCCAGGCGCCCUCCGCAGACCUCCGCGCAGCGGCCGCGGGCGCGAGGGGAGGGGUCUGGAGCUCCCUCCGGCUGCCUGUCCCGCACCGGAGCCCGUGGGGUGGGGAGGUGUGCAGCCUGUGACAGACAGGGGCUUAGAGAUGCAAACAGACUCAGGGAGAGAAACAGAAGCUGAUUCUGUGACAGAAGCAGAUCUGUGCAGCACAGAUGCGGUGUGCGUGGGGAGGGGGUCGCCUGGGAGCGCAUUGCGGAGUGCUUGUGUGUGCAGAUUUUUCUCUGGGCUCAGGACUCAUUGUAUGUGGGUCAACACCUUCCUCCGUGACUGUGUUUUUGUUCUGAGCUGAGUUUUUUGGUUUGCCCUUAAAAAAAUAAUAAUUUGGCAUCCAGAGACUGGCAGACUGCCUCAGGGCCUGGACUGCGGAUAUAUUGUGUUCUGCUUGAGGUUUGGGGAGGAGGGCAGGCGGUAGGAAGGGAGAGGGGGAGCUGUUUGUCACACUUUGCUGUAGAGCUGAGAGCACCUGACAAGCUUAAGGAAGUCGUUGGGCUAUGUGGACAAGAAGGAGCCAGCUCCCAGCGGGUUCACAAGCUCUAUCGGAGUUGAAAGCGUGGUCAUGGCUCUAAGGAGCACCUCACGCCCUCCCUGUAGCUGUUAUUGCAGUUUCAGGCAGAGAUCCAGGAGCUGCAGAGGAAGGGAGAGGCACAAUAACCUACAUGGACCCAAGGGAGACAUGUGUUCCUUUAAAAAUGUGAACAGAAGGAAAAACAGAAUGUGUGCAACUGGGGGUCUGAGGAAAGACUGUUUUGAAAGAGGCUGUCAGGGAAUGGAAAGGGUUAAGCUUUUCAUCCUGAAGAACCUGCUUCCCAAAUCAGGCCUUCCUCCCAUCACUAGACCCUGAGCAGCAGCUGGUCCUAGAGACCCCCCUCGUACUGCGCUGCCACAGUCUCAUCCCAUUUCCAGCUCUGUAUUAACCACCAAGCUGCAGCGGAUGGGGCAAGACCUAAGCUCAUUAAUUUCCAGGUGGAGGAAAUGGAGGAGGGGCAGGUCCCUGCAGUAGAGGGAGGAGCAGAGAAAGGAGGCCAAGAGCUGGAUCCUUCUGCCCAGGAAGCCUGCUGCAUCCCUUCCCCCGAGCAUGGCAGAGGCCUGGCUUUGCAAGGCCAAGGCCAUAAGGGAUGCUUAGGAGAUUAAUUUGAUUCCUGACACAAUAAUCAAGCCCUAAGAGUCUCCACUGAAGCUUACUGAGGACUUCUUUCCUCUCCAAAGCCUCAGUCUAGCCUGCUAAAUAAAUUAGUAUUCAGUGAUGCCUUGGAUCAGGGCCCCUCCCCGGCCUCAGUUUCCCCAAAUAUUUAUUAAGUACCUACUGUGUGCAAUCCUUGUGUAAUUAUUACCUCUUAGGCUCUUCAUUUGCCCUCCUAAAGCAGUGUUUAGAGUCAGGCAGAGGUUAAGUGUGUUGCACCUCACCUAGAUACUUCCAGAACCUUCUCUGGGUCUGCAGAAUGUGGCACAACCUGCUUGCCCCCGCAGAGAGAAAGCUGCAGUGCACAUCCUGCAGACUGCAGGUGCUGGGCUGCCUCUGGAGUCCCAGAAGGCAAGCUUGGCUGCAGGACAGAAAGGGAGAACAGCUUCUCUCACCCCUGAGCCUUCACAAGCCCUUGUCUAUUUGCCGUUGCCUUCAAAAUAUACCUCCCCCGAAACCAGUAGCUUUCUGAGUCCUGGUGUCCCCUCCGCCCUUUCUGGACAGGUUUGGGAAGAAGAAAGCAGUCAGUGCUGGGCCUUAUUGGGGUGUGAAGCGCCUUGCUCUGCCCCUUCUGCUCACUGUGAAGGCCGCUGGAUGCUUCUCUUAGGCAUGGUUUAAGCCUCCGAUUACUAAACCCCUUGCCCCACAAACGUCCACAUUGACGAGCCUCUUUUUAGUAACUGCUUCCCCGUAAUUCCUUCAGAGGUUGCUGUACCCUUCGCUGAUGUGCUGCCCUCCUGUAAAACCUCCAGAUGCCUUCCCACGUAAUGCCCCUUUCAGAUGCUUUAAGCUGAGAGCUUAAACCACAGGUACCAUGGCUGACGCCUGCCAGGUUUCUGCUGCAGAUAAUCUAUGAUGGGAGGGGCAUAUUUUUUACUUCAUUACUUAUGUAAACUCUUGUUCCAGAAAGCUUUAAUGUGUGUGGGAGUGUUCUGGGUCUAUUAGGUCUGUGCGCAUGGGUGUGGGCAUUUGCCUGUGUCCACCGGGUGGGUCUCAUUAUGAAAUGUAUGUUUAUGUAGGGCUUUAAUGGCUGAAAAUGGCAAAGAGAUGAAUAGACCACUUGGCCCCAUGUGUAAUUGCCAGGCCCCUUCUGUGCUCAAAUGAGGUGUCCGAGUGAAGGUCAGCCCUUCCCUUCUGUAUUUGGGGCCUAUUUAUGCCACCAGUAAUUUUAUAAGAAAUCUGAAUAGUUCUCCCCUUUGAGUGCAUUUAACUCUUUAGUAUCUUCUCUCUUACCUAUUUGAGCCCCUCUAGCUACAGUCUGGCUUAAAUGAAAGGGGAAUUAUAUGCUUAAGAAAAAGUAGGACACGGUUGAGGCAGUUUGCUGACUGAAUACGCGAAGAAGGACCUGAUGGGCUCAUAUGCACCACUGCCAUCACAGUCCCCAUCGUGAUGCAAGCUUAUAUGAUUCUUGAGAAACAGCCCAGAUCUCCUCUUAAGCGGAAAAGAGAUUGACCUUCUAGCAGAGGCAAAGGUAAACUCCUGUAAGUUACUUCUGUUACCAAAGGGAGGGGGGCGGCUUUUGUGAAUGUAUGAGGAGCUUUUGCCAGAGAGAUAUUCGGAGGAGGGGUGUGCCCAUAUGCACACAUAUAUUUUCCCGCAUAACCGUAUCCAAUGCUAGCAUUUAGAGGAAGGCAUUUAGCCACCAAAAGUCCAUCCAUCUAUGCUGCUUCCACAGAGAAAACAUUUUCUCUUUCCUCCUCUUGAACUUACAUAAUAUCCUCCUCCCAUUCCAACCUUAGAAUGGAGUCUUCUGGGGGCAGCUGCAAAGCGUUCUCCCUAGGACAGAUGGAGCCUCCCUUUCCUCAUCUACUCUGUGGGUGGUUUCAGGGCCCACGAGUCAACAUGAGGAGUUGUGCUGGUGGUAUGUGUGUUGGAGGCUGGGCUGGCUGAUUCACAGUGACGAGGAUGUCAAUAAUAACAAGAAUGAGAAUGAUGAUACCUAAUAAAGACUUUUU